rnacentral:lncRNA from 1 species
GACUUAAUUGUAGUUACUGGAGUGUUUGAAAUAUUGAGAAAAUAAUUAAUGAGCUGUGUGUAAAGUUUACAAAAAGUAAAGAGAAAAUUUGCUUCAAGAAUCAAGAGCGCUUUCAUUCAAUUCCUCAGAAAUUGUGGGAUUAGAUUUAUGGAGCCUAUUGUUGAAAGUGACCCCCGUCUUUGAGUCAUUUUUUUAAAUUACGCGUGGAUGAUUCACAUAACAGCCUUCAAGGCAGAGCCAACUUUUGAGUCAUUUAAUAGAAUUUCAGAAAGAAAUUUCAAGAGCUGGACUCCCCACCCCACACUCAAGAGUGGUUCAAAUUAAAUGCAUAUGCAGCUAAAAAUUCGGAGCUAUUGUUUUAGAUACCACUGGAAAUACUGUAGCUGUUGUCGUGGGGGACACGCUAAUUUCUUUGUAUAUGUGGAGUACUCAGAAGCUGAAGCUGCUCAAUUCGGCUUACAAACGGCAUUAGAAGUUCAAUUGAGCCCUGUUCAGUAAAAGGCCAGUUGAGUCCUCUGUCUCUCUCUCCUUUUUUUUUUUUUUUUGUUUCAUUUUACUUUGCAGGGGUGAUGAGGCCUGACCUUUAGACAUUUUGAAUAAUUAUAAUUUGUUUAUUUUGAGGGAGACUUGACUGUAGUUACUGGUGUUUUUGAAAUAUUUGACAUAAUAUAUUAUUUAAAAAUUAACUAUUGAGCUUCAUGUAAAGUUUAAAAAGGGUAAGAGAAAAAUUGCUUCUAGUGGUUACAAGUUACAACAAAGGUCUAUUAAUUAAGCUGCCUUGAUCCAUUUUACUUUUUGGUUAUUAAUCAUCACAUUCACCGUUAUAUCUAUUUUCAGACUUUUGCAUAUUGAUUGAAGGAUCAAGCUACGGUGCAACAGGUGCAACGUGCCCCUGCGUUUCCUUUUUUGACAGCACCCCUUACUUUCUUCUGUAUUUACAGUUUAUUAAAGUAAUUUCUUUUUCCUCUUUCUUUCACCCCUCACCUUUACAAUCUUCCAUAUUUUUUCCAUUUUCAAUUAAACCUAUAAUCAACCAAGUGCAAUCAAUAAGAAAGAAGUUGACAAGCUAUUUCUUUAUCACCUUAAG